rnacentral:rRNA from 1 species
AGCGAACGCUGGCGGCAGGCCUAACACAUGCAAGUCGAACGAACUCUUCGGAGUUAGUGGCGGACGGGUGAGUCACACGUGGGAACGUGCCUUUUGGUUCGGAAUAACUCAGGGAAACUUGUGCUAAUACCGAAUGUGCCCUUCGGGGGAAAGAUUUAUCGCCAUUAGAGCGGCCCGCGUCUGAUUAGCUAGUUGGUGAGGUAACGGCGCACCAAGGCGACGAUCAGUAGCUGGUCUGAGAGGAUGACCCGCCACACUGGGACUGAGACACGGCCCAGACUCCUACGGGAGGCAGCAGUGGGGAAUCUUGCGCAAUGGGCGAAAGCCUGACGCAGCCAUGCCGCGUGAAUGAUGAAGGUCUUAGGAUUGUAAAAUUCUUUCACCGGGGACGAUAAUGACGGUACCCGGAGAAGAAGCCCCGGCUAACUUCGUG